AACGAACGCUGGCGGCGUGCUUAACACAUGCAAGUCGAACGCGAAAGUCCCUUCGGGGGCGAGUAGAGUGGCGCACGGGUGAGUAACGCGUAGGAACGUACCUAAUGGUGGGGAAUAACCUCGGGAAACCGUGGCUAACACCGCAUGAUGACGCGAGUCCAAAGCAGGCCUCUGUUUACAAGCUUGCGCUGAUAGAGCGGCCUAUGUCCCAUUAGCUAGUUGGUGAGGUAAUGGCUCACCAAGGCGACGAUGGGUAGCUGGUCUGAGAGGAUGAUCAGCCUCACUGGGACUGAGACACGGCCCAGACUCCUACGGGAGGCAGCAGUAGGGAAUUUUGCACAAUGGGCGCAAGCCUGAUGCAGCAACGCCGCGUGAGUGAAGAAGGCCCUUGGGUUGUAAAGCUCUUUCGGCCAGGGAGAAGGGUCCAUCUGCGAACAGUUGGUGGAUCUGACGGUACUGGAAGAAGAAGCACCUGCUAACU
rnacentral:rRNA from 1 species